UAUCUCAGCUCGGAAUGUUUACAGCGAAAUUCUUGAAACGCGUCUUGACAUCCGUAAAAUAAAUUCAUCCGUUGUAGUCGCGAAGAAGAUCGCGUAAAUCGCUCGUUGAACAUCGGACAUCGUAAAUCAGACAGUUACGACAUUUCGCCCGGCGCCGAUGUGCGACUUGGCAUGACGUCGAUAGUUCGCAGCUGUUUCGAUUAAGCCUCUGCGGCAUCAGGAAGCAUCAGUGAACGCCGGCCGUCGAUGAACGCUGCGCCGCGUCGGUGACUUUCCACUCGGAUUACAAAAUGUAAGAUGCGUGAAAGAAAUAUAGCGGUCUCUCGCGCCGAGAGACGAGGAUGGCUCCAACCUGUAUCGCCAACAUCUAAUUUGUAUUUCCUCUCUGCCGUGCGGCGCGAUCAGUUUGCCUCGCGUAGAGAGAAGGAUCGUCUUCCAACAGACGGCGGGAAACAGGUGGCGUCGGUCGAAGGCACUUUACAUUCUCCGUUUCUUUAGGACGAACGGGGCGGAUUUCGUGCGGCGGUGGCGGAGGUGAAACGAGGCAACAGACAAGGCCAAGGUUGCACCGUAAGUUCAACAAAAUUAUGCGGACUUUCGAGAAAAUAUUGACUCACCUGGCUUUGGCCGACUCGAUAGGAUGCGGGAUCGACGUCGACGGUCAGCAGCAUGUCCUCGACGGCGCGACGUUCAUCGGUGACAGGACUUCCGGGACGAGCGUUCACGUCGCUCGAAAGUAAUCCAAAUCGACGUCUAAAUUCACCCAGGGCCAUAUGUUUCGGGAAUCCAACUUUGUGUAGACGAAUAGCGUCUAUUAUCUGACUUCCGCGAAUCUGUUUACAAGUCAUAUAAACAUGUCAGACAAAAAUAUUUGGUAUUAAAAAAAAAAUUAUAUUUAUUUCG